ensembl:lncRNA
CAGACAUCCAAUCCGAUUUCAUCAUGCAAGUGCGAGCGAGCGUGCUGAUUUUGAGCCACUCUACCCAGCAUACAGCGUGUGCAGUCCGAUCCCGUCGAUCUGGGUGCGUUUUAUUUCAAUCACCGCGUUAAGAAAAAAAAAAAAAGCAGAGACUUUCACCGGAAUGCACGCGUUUUCUCUCUGAUUUAUCAUUCCUGCAGGGUUUUCUUGUCUUCUUGCAUAUGGGAAGAAUGUGAUAAUGGAGCGGGAGAAAAAUAAAAGGGAGUGGAAACGGACUGAGCUCGAGAGAUAAGAAAAAAAAGCAAGAGAGGCCGUCCAUUUUGUCAGAGCAGCAAAAAAAAAAAAAAAAAAAAAAAAAAAAAAAAAAGAGAGAGAAGAUGGAAUUCAAGCACAAUCUGGAGGAAGGAAAAAGAUGGAGAAACGCGCGCGCCGUGCCUUAAAAAUGGGAUGAAUAUUUGGGAUGUGGUGUGUUGAUGAUUCGGAGAGAGAAAAAAUGGAAAGAUGAACCAGGCAUGAUGAAGCUGCUGCAUCUUCUUCAUCCUCAUCAUUCGGUCCUGUCUGUCCUGACCUGGAUUUAUCUCGGAUUAAAUCCGCACACACUCGGGUUUAACCCGGGAUUGUAAUCUCGGUUGUUGGAUUGAAGAUUGUGCACUGUUGCAGACUUUAUGAAGUGGCCUAGUAUGCAUCAUCUAGUGUGCAUCAUCUAGUGUGCACGGACCUGCAUCCUGAGCAUCUCACCUGUACCCUCUCAGAUGAAAAGGUCAAAGGUAGACACCAAUUACAGCUACAUCGUCAUUAAAGGAACGUCAUUAAUCUACAUAUUUUUGGAUUUGAAGAUCCACAGUUUGUAUCUUGACACUGAAUGUCUGACUCUCAGCUAGGACAGAUAUCAGAAUACACGUUCUUCUUUUUUUAGAAAUUCAUUUUUCAUUCCAGUCUGACGUGGUUGGAGUUAAAGGGAUGUAUUUGUAUUGACUUUUUGACUUUUCCACUUUUGGAAGUGUAAAGGGAUGUGAGGUCUAUAAUCAAGAUCACACCUGAGCGCUGAUCUGCAUUUCGUCUGAAACCGGACGCAGCGUUACCGAGAAAACUGUACAAGUCCUUUAAAGGGAGAAUCCAACGUUUCUGGAAUUAAAAGAGACACCUUAAAGGUUUCUGUUGGGGUUUUUAAUUAUUAUAAUUUUUUUUAGAGCAGGUCCGUAAUUGAGAUCACUGCUGAGGAGAAUGGGCUGCUGUGGGAGCGUGUGCAUCCUUUAAAGGGUAACUCAGAGCUGGCUGGAAUUAAAUGGAGACGUUCAGGGUUUCUUUAAUAAGCAGUGCAGCACCAGUGGAGACUUCCUGACGUUUACAAAAAGCACACAACUGAUCACCUGAGGAAUGAGGGUUCUUCCUCAGCAAGAGCUCUCUGGCGGUGGGUUUUGAACACACAACCUUCUGAUUAAUAGCACAGAACCUUAACCACUUAGCACUUUUCCAGAAUCCAGUGCAGCUGGAGCUCGGUGCUUCCUCAGUUUUCCUCAUCCUCGUCUCGUUUAAUCAUCCUCAGGGUUAAAGGGGGGGUGGGGUGGUGGUGGUGGUGGUGAAAUAAACAGUGCUGGAUUUUUGCACUUUCUCCCCCUCGGACAUUCACUGUGCUGGAUGUGUUUGUAGUGGAUGACCUCUGAUGACCCCUAGUUACACUCCGGAGUGCGUUCCAGAGAGCGUGCGUGCUUUCCCGAGUGCUGCUGGAGGACGGGUUGGAUUGAAACCCUACGAGACCGUGAGAACUGACCAAGAGGAGGAGGAGGAGGAAGAAGGAGAUAUGAGCUGUGGAUGGUGGUGAUGAUGAUGAUGCUGGAUACACAGGAGUUAGCUGUGCAGCGUGUACAGAAAAGAAUUACAGGCCCGUGUUUCUUAUUAUGGCUUCCAGAACGAGUAGAUUCAGUAGUAAUGAAAGAAAAGUCUCUAGUUUGGAAUAAUGGUCCGACCUGAAAGGUGCAGUGAGGAUUUUUUUUUUUUUAAUUGUUCUUACCACUACAAAUAAAUAAAUAUCGGUGAUGACAAAGAAACAUCUGUUAAAAACGUAGAAUCCAAAGCAAGUGAAAGAAGAAAAAAAGGUCAAAGAAAAAGAAAAAAAAACAGGUCCGUGCUGUCAGUCAUGUUAUAGACACACCUCCAGGGGGCGCUUGACUCCAGCCACUUCUUUACUGCUCAGGAAAGCAAAGCAUGGUGGGUUGUGAAAACAGCACAGAGUAAAGUGUAAAAUGAGAUUUAUUAUCGUUAUUGACUUUAACGCCACUGACGAGUGUGUGAUGAGUCGUUAUGAACUGGAUGAUGCACCACACCUUUGAUCUCCAACACACACACACACACACACACUGUCUCUCUGAGGACGUUUGUCUUCAGCUCUGUCUCCUCUGUGAAGUUUUUAUCGACGCGCUGCUGUUGUCUUGGAUGUUCCACUUAUCACAAAUAUACAGUUUCUCACUAGAGAAACCGCUAGAACACACUCGGUCUCUUCUGUUUAAUUCAGAAUGGUCUUUAAACACUGACUCACACACAUACACAUACACAUACACAAAAACACAUGCAUAUGUAACUGGACAAAGUGUUUAUUAUUAGUGUAUAGAAUGUAAAAUCAACACAUCGAGCUGGAGACACACAGGACUGGAUUUUUUAUCAGUUGCAGCAGUUAUUAUUUAUGUUUGUUUCUCAUGACCAUUAUUUCUCACUAAUUUACUUGGGUCUGUUUCCCAAAAUAUAAAUUACUAAUUACACCACUCUGACUCCGACUCCACUCCGACUCUGACUCCACUCUGACUCCAACUCCAUUCCGACUCCACUCUGACUCUGACUCCACUCUGACUCCACUCCAACUCCACUCCGACUCUGACUCCGCUCUGACUCUGUCUCUGUCUUCAUUCUGACUCUGACUCCACUCUGGCUCCACUCCGACUCUGUCUCCACUUUGACUCUGACUCCACUCUGACUCUGUCUCCACUCUGACUCUGACUCUGAUUCCACUCUGAC